rnacentral:rRNA from 1 species
UACGGAGGGUGCAAGUGUUAUCCGGAUUCACUGGGUUUAAAGGGUGCGUAGGUGGGCUAGUAAGUCCGUGGUGAAAUCUCUGAGCUUAACUCGGAAACUGCCGUGGAUACUAUUAGUCUUGAAUCUCGUGGAGGUAAGCGGAAUAUGUCAUGUAGCGGUGAAAUGCUUAGAUAUGACAUAGAACACCAAUUGCGAAGGCAGCUCGCUACACGAAUAUUGACUCUGAGGCACGAAAGCGUGGGGAUCAAACAGG